UACGUAGGGUGCAAGCGUUAAUCGGAAUUACUGGGCGUAAAGCGUGCGCAGGCGGUGAUGUAAGACAGGUGUGGAAUCCCCGGGCUUAACCUGGGAACUGCAUUUGUGACUGCAUCGCUGGAGUGCGGCAGAGGGGGAUGGAAUUCCGCGUGUAGCAGUGAAAUGCGUAGAUAUGCGGAGGAACACCGAUGGCGAAGGCAAUCCCCUGGGCCUGCACUGACGCUCAUGCACGAAAGCGUGGGGAGCAAACAGG
rnacentral:rRNA from 1 species